UAUUAAAGUUGCUGCAGUUAAAAAGCUCGUAGUUGAAUUUCGGGGUCAAUAUGUUGGUCGUGCCUUGGUACGUACUAGCUUAUUGAUUUCUCCUUUCUGACGAACCAUGAUGUCAUUAAUUUGGUGUCAUGGGGAAUCAGGACUGUUACUUUGAAAAAAUUAGAGUGUUUAAAGCAGGCUCGCGCUUGAAUACAUUAGCAUGGAAUAAUGAAAUAGGACGUUUGAUUCUAUUUUGUUGGUUUCUAGGAUCGACGUAAUGAUUAAUAGGGAUAGUUGGGGGCAUUAGUAUUCAAUUGUCAGAGGUGAAAUUCUUGGAUUUAUUGAAGACUAACUAC
rnacentral:rRNA from 1 species